GACGAACGCUGGCGGCGUGCCUAAUACAUGCAAGUAGAACGCUGAAGGAGGAGCUUGCUUCUCUGGAUGAGUUGCGAACGGGUGAGUAACGCGUAGGUAACCUGCCUGGUAGCGGGGGAUAACUAUUGGAAACGAUAGCUAAUACCGCAUAAUAGUAGAUGUCGCAUGACAUUUGCUUAAAAGGUGCAAUUGCAUCACUACCAGAUGGACCUGCGUUGUAUUAGCUAGUUGGUGAGGUAACGGCUCACCAAGGCAACGAUACAUAGCCGACCUGAGAGGGUGAUCGGCCACACUGGGACUGAGACACGGCCCAGACUCCUACGGGAGGCAGCAGUAGGGAAUCUUCGGCAAUGGACGGAAGUCUGACCGAGCAACGCCGCGGGAGUGAAGAAGGUUGUCGGAUCGUAAAGCUCGGUUGUAAGAGAAGAACGAGUGUGAGAGUGGAAAGUUCACACUGUGACGGUAUCUGACCAGAAAGGGACGGCUAACUACGUG
rnacentral:rRNA from 1 species